GAUGAACGCUGGCGGCGUGCCUAAUACAUGCAAGUCGAGCGAACGGACGAGACGCUUGCUUCUCUGAUGUUAGCGGCGGACGGGAGAGUAACACGUGGAUAACCUACCUAUAAGACUGGGAUAACUUCGGGACACCGGAGCUAAUACCGGAUAAUAUUUUGAACCGCAUGGUUGAAUAGUGAAAGACGGUCUUGCUGUCACUUAUAGAUGGAUCCGCGCUGCAUUAGCUAGUUGGUAAGGUAACGGCUUACCAAGGCAACGAUGCAUAGCCGAACUCAGAGAGUGGUCGGCCACCCUGGAACUGAGACACGGUCCAGACUACUACGGGACGCAGCAGUAGGGAAUCUUCCGCAAUGGGCGAAAGCCUGACGGAGCAACGCCGCGUGAGAUAUGAAGGUCUUCGGAUCGUAAAACUCUGUUAUUAGGGAAGAACAUAUGUGUAAGUAACUGUGCACAUCUUGACGGUACCUAAUCAGAAAGCCACGGCUAACUACGUG
rnacentral:rRNA from 1 species